rnacentral:rRNA from 1 species
UACGAAGGGUGCUAGCGUUACUCGGAAUUACUGGGCGUAAAGAGCGCGUAGGCGGCCUGAUAAGUUGGAAGUGAAAUCCCAGAGCUUAACUUUGGAACUGCUUUCAAAACUAUUAGGCUAGAGAACGGUAGAGGAUAGUGGAAUUCCCAGUGUAGAAGUGAAAUUCGUAGAUAUUGGGAGGAACACCGGUGGCGAAGGCGGCUAUCUGGGCCGUUUCUGACGCUGUGGCGCGAAAGCGUGGGGAGCAAACAGG